rnacentral:rRNA from 1 species
GUCCACGCCUUAAACGAUGAUCACUUGGUGUUGGAGGUAUUGACCCCUUCAGUGCCGGAGCUAACGCGUUAAGUGAUCCGCCUGGGAAGUACGGUCGCAAGAUUAAACUCAAAGAAAUUGACGGGGGCCCGCACAAGCGGUGGAGCAUGUGGUUUAAUUCGAUGCAACGCGCAAAACCUUACCUAGGUUUGAAAUGUAGUGGAAGUUAGCAGAGAUGUUAAACGCUCGCAAGAGUCGCUACACAGGUGCUGCAUGGCUGUCGU